UACUACUGUACUAAGUAAACCUCCAUGUCAAAGCCUGAUCUCUGAAGCUAACCAGGACUGGGCCUGGUUAGUACUUGGAUGGGAGACCACUGGGAAUACCAGGUACCACAGUGGGGU
rnacentral:rRNA from 1 species